UUUUUUUUUUUUUUUUUUUUUUUUGGUUUUUCAAGACAGGGUUUCUCUGUAUAGCCCUGGCUGUCCUGGAACCCACUUUGUGGACCAGGCUGGCCUCAAACUCAGAAAUCUGCCUGCCUCUGCCUCCCGAGUGCUGGGAUUAAAGGCAUAUGCCACCACGCCCAGCAUGAUAUUUUAUUUUUAAUUUUUGAUAAAAUUGUAAUAAUUUGUAUAUGCUUGGCCUAGGGAAUGGCAUUAUUAGGAAGUGUGGCCAUGUUGGAGUAGGUGUGUCACUGUGGGCGUGGGCUUUAAGACCCCUCAGCCUAGCUGUGUGGAAGUCAGUAUUCUUCUAGCAGCCUUUAGAUGAAGAUGUAGAACUCUCAGCUCCUUCUGCACCAUGAUGAUAAUGGACUGAACCUCUGAACCUAUAAGACAACCCCAAUUAAAUGUUGUCCUUAUAAGAGUUGCCUUGGUCAUAGUGUCUGUUCACAGCAGUAAAACCCUAACUAAGACAGAUGUGUUAUAUAAAAACUAGGAAGUAACCAUGGUUACGUCUUCAACCGAGCUUCGAUUCUUACAACCGUGCAAAUUUCAUUUCCACUCUUUGAAUUUUAGGCAAGAGAAAAGUUAUCAACGAAAAACUAACAUUGGUAAAUGUGUAAAUUGAAUUCCAGGAGGAGGAGAAGCAGGAUGUGGAAUAAUAUUUCAUAGCAUCUAAAUGAAUUUUCUUGAAAAGUGAACUACAAUGUCAAUUUUCAUUGGCAGCAGUUGUAUUAAGUAGCUUAUAUUGCUCUGUAAAUUAUCCCUAAACAUAUAUUUUUUUUAAAAACCAACAAUUUAUUAUUUGUCUUUAUAGCAGCAGUGUGACAAUCGCUUAGAACAAUGCUGGCUUUGUUUUUAUCACUCUCUGACACCUGUGGGGUGUUGGCUGGGACUGGCCAGGUAGGAAGGAUUUGAAGUCACUUAGAAGAAAAGGAUUCAGGCCAGCCUCAGGGCUGAUUAAGUCAGUGCUGGUCUUGGAGGGAGAGCUCAGAGAUUUCUCCAUUGAAGUUCUUUGACUCUUCCCCCAGAUAAGACAACCAAAGAAACCAAGGAGAAACCAAGGUAGAAAACAGCUCAUUACUAUGAACUGUUCCUAUAUUUUGCUAGUUAUACAACUUAGUUCCCUUGCUCAGAGUUAAGAAUACCACCAGACAAAGAGCAGUGGGUGUGUACUGAACCUGGCUACCACAAGUCACUGUCAAGACAGAGAUAAUUAGAUUUUAAAGCAUGAAUUUCUGCAUCCUAGAGGGAUCUUUGCAGGCUUUUUUCUUUACUUUUUAUAAUUUGAACUUACCCUAAUUCCUAUGGGCUCCCAUUAGAUAAGCUGGACUCCCUGUUGCCUCUUAAUUAAGGCAUCGUUAUUUCUAAUUUUAGCUGUACACGUGUUACAUCUCCCUCUUUUUCUUUAAUAACGCCCCUCUAGAACUCUAGUGGCUUUUCUUCCCACAAAGCUCAGCUGUACUAUCUGUAAUCUUUCCCCCACCGUCCAGUUCAGACAGUUCCUAGAGCCUACAAUGAAAUACUUAGUUUUUUCACUCUACAUAGUUACUAAAUGUCCACUAUGUCUUGGGGCUGUGUUAUAUAAUGAUAUGAAUGUUAGUUACCAACUAAAAAGAUUUAUAUUUGCAUCUUACAAUCAUGAUGCUCAUAUUUGUGCAUUCGGGAGGUAUAUUGCUCAAGAGUUUUAAAAUGUCUUUGAGGUCUUUGAGUGCACAUCUUGUGUGCAUAACUAACUUUUAAAGGUUAAUUCGUUUUUACCUUUCGACGUUCAACUUUUAAGUCACAGAAAAAUAUAACGAUUACUUGGUUCAACUUUUAAGUUUAGCUUACAUGUGCUAUUUUCCUCUGUAUUAAUAUAGCACAUUUAGCAUCAUUUUUAAGGUAUCCGUAGCCUCAUUUCCAUGGUUUGUUAAAUCCUGGGCUGGAGAGAUAACACAAAGGUUAAAAGCAAAUUUUGAUCUUGCAGGUGACUGGACUUCUGAUUCCAACACCUACACUGAUUGGCUUGCUGCCACCUAUAAUCUCCUACACUCAUAGGUAAACACACACAUGCAUAGUUAAAAACAUAAAGACAAAUACUUUAAAAAAGAAUGUAAAAGUUUAUUAUGAAUUGAAAAUAAUAUGUACCUCUUUGCCUGGCUUUUAGGAGUUUGUAGAGAUUGCAUAUAUAAAACUUCUUUAUGAUUUCCAAUGGAUAUUUAAGUGCUACAAUAUUGUUAUUAAAUUCCAGUCUGCUAUGCUUUUGUACUGAAGAGCUCCACUGGGAGACAAGGCACACUGCUUUGCUCUGGAGUACUUUUGAUAAAUGUUUCAUCACUUUGCAAAUAUUUUUAAAGUAGUUCUACCUUGCUUUAGAUGAGGUUCUGGGGAAAAUUAAAAUUUACAAGGAAUUAAAGGUCUGUGAGUUAGUUGAAAAGGUUCAAGGUAAUGAUUUCCUGUCUUCAUCACCAAGAAACACAGCAAACAAACCUGAAUGAAGAUACAGCCUAGCCUCUCCACCAGCACUCCUGGGAGAAUCUUGAGUGGUCCACCUCAGUCUACAUCACUGAUGUUCACUUUGCUUAGAUGGCAGACGUAAGCCUCUAUUAUCAUCACCAGAUUCAUCAGCUAAUUAAGGACAAUGAACACCUUUGCUGAAAUAAUUGGAAGCAGUUACAUCCUGCAGAAAUUUGCCUCCCUGUAGGGGUGAAGCCUGAACAAGAUGGUUGUUACAUGGUAGGUUUCUAAAGUCAAAUAAGCAAGGCUUAAUUGGAAGCUAAAAUUCAAGAGCUUAAACAUGGAUUGAAACUAAAUCAAUUGCAUGAUUCAAGCUUACAAGUAUACUGUUAUUCAAGCUUACAAGUAUAUUGUUAGAUAUUAUUCUAGCGAUGUAGAGAAGUAGAAUACCCACAAAUUGUUUAGGACGAUCAUCAUGGAGCCUUGCUUGACAAAAGAACCUAUUUUUGUAACAAAUAUUUGACAAGGGGCUUUCUCUGGGGCUUUCUUUUCUAACAUCUCCUAAGGCUUUCUGAUUAAACAUAUUCAACCUUAGAUAAGUGCUAAUCACUCUUUAGACCUUGAAGACUCUUCUCUACCAAAUAAGAUAGUUUACUUUCAUUUUAAUAAAUUGUAUUUGAAUUGUUGAAUUUCAAAGCUCAGAAUCUACAUUCUCUUCUGAGCUCAGAUUGUCCCACCUGAAGCCUUGUUUGAUUUAUCGCAUUUGUAGUCCCUAGCUUUCCUUUAAUCGAAUGCUUCACAGAUGAAUUCUCAUUCUUUUCCACUCAGCACAGUUGCUAGGUGCCAAAUAAGUAGUGGCACUGUGUUAGCGACAUUUUUCAGGACUUUUCUGAUGUCUUCAUAAUGGUUUGUGGAAAAAAGUGAAUACAUAUAGAACAAGUAAAAUCUUAGCUUGAAGCUGGACUAACGAUGGCCUGGGAGCUCUUCGGAAAUGGGUUUUUAUGAAUGACCAACCUCUCACCUUUAUACAAGUGAGCUCUAUCUGACAUUGUAACAAUUCUUACUCUUGCCUUACAGAUUUCAUACUCAUGCAAGUGUAGCAGGGUUUAGAUUUGACAGUUACAAUUUUAUGCAAUUGGAAAUUUGUACAUGUAUUUUUGUGCUUUUGUCAGUAUAAGAUUUUUCAUCUUAUUAAUGAUUGCUAAAGUAUGUUUGCUAUUAUUUGUCCAUACAACUCAGUGAAGAAAUGAAGAGUUUCUAACUUACUUCGUAUAUGUUUCUGCGAUAAACUAUGAACAGAAACAACUUUGGGUGUAUUUGGUGCAUGGCUCCAGAGUCUGAGUCUAUAAUGAGCAAUAAGGCAUGGCAUCAGGUGGCCCUGGCAUGACAUCAUUGAAGCUGGCCAAUCACAUUUUAUCUGCACAAAGGUAAGACUAUAAGCCUUCUGAGCCUGCCUCUAGCGAUGUAAUCCCUCUCUAAAGACUCCAACUUCUAAAAGUUCCGUAACUUCCUGCAAACGGUGCCCCUCCUGGUGACUGAGUGUCCACUCAGAUGGCCCUAUGGGGGAAGACAUUCCUUCUCAAAUGGCCACCUCAGAUAGUGAAUUUCAUUCGACAUCAGCCCAACUCUACUCCUACCAUGGAAUGGUCAUAGAGGAGCCUGAGCAGGGACAGGGGACAGAAAGAGAAUCUGUACAGACUCUGUGUUGGGGCUGGCAACGUGGCUUAGUUGGAUAAAGACGUGUGUUUUCAAGCAUGAUGCCCUGAGUUCAAUUCCCUGCACCCACGUAGUUGUGAGUUGUCCUCUGACCUCCAAGUUCAUGCAUUCAGUAUGGAUGCAGCCACACUCCCACAUUCUCACAGUGAGCAGGUAAAUGUAAAAAAGAAAAUUUAAAAGGACAUCAUGCGGUAGAAUCUUAUCACAGGCUGUCAUGACUUAUAGAAUUGAAAUUUCCAUUGUUACUUUUGACUAUUUUCUAACUUUAAAUUCAUAUAUUCUUCAAAUUUAGUUUUCGACCGAACUGUCCAUUAUGAGACUGAGGAGAAAAAAGAAUGUGUCUUGAAGAAUUUCACCAAGGACAGGGAGUUUAUGGUCAACAACCAGUAAGAAGGAGAUGAGAGGAAAUGAGCAAAACUUAAUCUUAUAUUAUGAUUUGUGUCUUCUGUAAUUUAAGUAAUUCUCUAAGUUCUCUGAUUUCUUAAGCCUAUAAAAUCACACUGUGAAUUUGUGAUAGUAAUUAUUUAUAGCAAGGAUUUAAGAUAAAUAUUCUUCAUCUUGAAAAACAGAAAAAAAAAGUUGAACCAAGAAGUCUAGCUAGUGGCACAAAAUAAUACUGUAAUUAUGCACUAUGCACAAAACAUCAAAUCCAUGAUGACAGUUUUGCACACCGCAUGCUGGCUGCUAAGAUGCAACAGGUGUCACAUAAUAGGCAGCAGUGUGCACAGGCAGAGUACACAGGCAGCCAGGACAUGGGAGGAGCAGACAGGGUGGAAGAGCUCACACAUUUAGGAAAGAAACCAUGUUUCCCCAGGGUACAUGCAAUUCAAGAAUAAUGCAUGAGUAAGUAUGAGUGCUGGGGUUACUAAGGACACGCAGGAAAAACCUCUUCUCUUUCCUAUUAUUCUUUUCCUUUAUUCUUUAAGGCUAUUCUGUUUUAUUAUAUUUUAUUUUUUUAAAAAAAUAUGCCCUGAAAUUAUUAAAUACUUUGUGGACAAAUGACACAGCUUCUCAUUUCAUGUCAAGGAUGUCUAGUUUCUGAUUUCUGGGGGGAUAUUCCUAAGCCCUCCAUAUACCUGAUCCUAAUUUACUGAGUGUUAUCAGGGUAGUGAACCAACUGCCCCAAAUCAGGUGUCAUCUUCCAGUAGUAGACAUUUUUGUGCACAUGUAACUCAGGUUUGUAAUAACAUAGUUCCUCCAUUUCUCUCUGCAGCCACAGUCUCUCUGUUAAUGCCAUUUCUGCCUCUGAAUUGUCCUCGAACAUUUUGUACCUUAACGUUUUGUAUUUUAACGUAAUGUGGAAGCCAGUUUGUGUUUGACUUAUCAGACACAUUCCCACUGCCCACUCAACUCCGAAGAGAAUGUGGCGUUGUUUUCCAAGAGGCCUUUCACAUGCCAAGCCACCUCCACCAGGCAGCCAGAUAAGACUCUCUGGAGCUGAGCUCUGCUCCAGAACAGCGAUUCCCAGCAGUGUCAGGGUGAAGGAGAGGCAAGACAUGGAAGAUUCAGCCUGGAGAACAUGAAAUCUCUGCUUGCCUCAGACACAAGAUAAACUGAAGCCACUGGCAGCUGAGACUAAGGACUUCCUGGCUCAGAGGACAGUGCCUUCUCCACACUGCUUAGUCCUGGUUGUGACACCAACCAGGGCUCAACUAGGAAAAAAAAAGGAUUCUGUUAUGUUACCCAGUAUGUUCAAACUUUUAAAGAGAAACAAAACCAGGAGCCAUGUGCCAGAGCUGGAGAGAGGAGUGGGAGCCCUGGAGUGAAGCUGGUGGCCUCUCUACCCUGGGGAGAGAAUCCAGGAGCUACAGUCUGUGCCCUCACACUUGCUCGACACUCUAGGAGUGCAAUUUCACACUUCUUGCCACAAAAACAAAUUUCUUUUCCCACUUCAGUUAAAAAUAAAGCCAAUGUGUGA